rnacentral:lncRNA from 1 species
GGACCGAGAGAGAGCACCAAGGCCGGCCAGCGACGCGCAACCCAGGCGGGGAUGGAGAAGUGUUCUGGCCCGGUCCGACGAUCUACUGGGCUGAGCCAGAAGUUGGGGCACACCCAGGACGCUCCGACUCACCCCGUGCGGCCAGCGCCUGGCUCCCGAGGUGCAGGAGCAGCAGUAGCAGUGCCACCCGUGCCCCCGCCAUGCUCGCUCGACCCUCCUCGCUGUAGGGAAUCCAACACCCACCUCUGACCUCCCCAGCACCAGGCACACGUGUGGUGUAUGUUGACAUAGUUCUCUCCCGUCCUUCUUUCCUUCCUUCCUUCCUUCCUUUCUUUCUUUCUUUCUUUCUUUCUUUCUUUUUUUUUCUGUUUCAUUGGGCUCGUAUACCUGUUUCCCUUCCAACCUUUACUCCACCCUAAUCUCUUUUAAGCAAUCCCCCCAAACUAAAUAUAUAACCCCUAACUUCCCUUAGGGCCUCUGCUCUCCUGUUUAUGAACAGUGGAGCCAGCAUCCACAGUACAGUGAGCAGCAGGCGAAGUCACCUACAUUAAGAAUCUAGGGCAGUGAACUACAAGAAGCCAGGUAUGGAAACUGGUGUGGUGAUAUACACCCACAAUGCCAGCUUUCCCAGUUGAAGCAAGGAGAUGGGAAGUUUCAAGGCCACCAUAGGCUACAAGAGCGGGUUUGAGACCAGCCUGGGAUAUGUGAAUGAUAUCCCGAAUCACGCACACACACAGUAAGAACUCAGGAACAAACAACAGUCAGUGUCGAUUAAAAGCACCCACUCUUCAUUUGCACAUUACUCUCCUGGAGCUCACGGACCACAUCUACUCCAGAUGCAGGCCAAACGCCCUGCCUCCCUUCUCUGGCUGGCUGGGCUCCUUCUGAACUCAGGGCUCAGCUGGAGUAGGAAGCCCUGGGUUUACUUCAGGGGAGGAGCCCAAAGUGAGGAAAAUGGUCCUGGGAAACAGCUCUGUGCAGCUGGGAAGGAAGGAUGGGGCCCCACGUUCACCACAGAGGGACACGGAGGGUGGGGCUGCAAAUCCAGCCAAAGAAGUCCCUGCCUUGGCCUUGAAGACCUGGAAUGUGAAGUCACCCUCCCCCAGCGGGGGCAGGGCAGGAACUGAAGGUCUCCCUCUGGGGUCAAGGCUUGAGUAAAAGAGGGCAGGGUCUCUUCCCAGCUUGUGAGGGCCCCUCGUGGGGCUAAGCAGUUUGCAGCGGGCGGGCGGAAGGGAGGCUGUGACUAAACCUUUCCUCUGCGACUUGGAGCUAGGGUCACACAGUAAAGGAAAAGCCAGAGCCAAUGGAAGCCAACGGAACUAGGAACUAGCAGCUCUUGUCCAAACCGGGAAGUAAUGAGAGACAGAAAGAGAGAGACAGAGACAAAGAAG